rfam:Erinaceus europaeus unplaced genomic scaffold scaffold01438, whole genome shotgun sequence
GGAUGUGAGGGUGAUCUGGCUGCGACACCUGUCACCCCACUGAUCGCCAGGGUUGAUUCGGCUGAUCUGGCUGACUAGGCGGGUGUCCCCUUCCUCCCUCACCGCUCCAUGUGCGUCCCUCCCGAAGCUGCGCGCUCAGUCGAAGAGGACGGCCUUCCCCGAAUAGAGACGGACCGGUCUUCGGCCGAGGGUGUACGAGUAGCUGCGCUCCCCUGCUAGAACCUCCAAACAAGCUCUCAAGAAUCCACUGCUCCUGGCAGUCAUUUCCCCAUUUUAUUGAAUAGUGACACAGAAAUUGAGAGGGGAGGGGGGGAGAGACACUUGCAGACCUGCUUCACUGCUUGU